rnacentral:rRNA from 1 species
GACGAACCGUGCGAACGUUAUUCGGAAUCACUGGGCUUAAAGCGCGUGUAGGCGGGAGGGCACGUCCGUUGCUGAAAUCCCCCGGCUCAACCGGGGAACGGGCGCGGAUACGACCUUCCUGGAGGGGCGUAGGGGGACCUGGAACUUCCGGUGGAGCGGUGAAAUGCGUUGAGAUCGGAAGGAACGCCCGUGGCGAAAGCGAGGUCCUGGACGCUUACUGACGCUGAGACGCGAAAGCCAGGGGAGCGAACGGG